rnacentral:lncRNA from 1 species
UCCUUGAAAUGCAUUAAUUUUUUAAAGAGUUGAUUUAAAUGUUAAAACUUUAUUAUUAUUCUUUAAAAAAAAAUCUACUGUUUCUUCUCAAAAUUUAAACUUGUCUAGGAAACUCUUCUCCCCCCAAGUUUGUAUAAGUGAGACCCUGAACUUUUAAGAAACUGACUCAUUCAGUAUAAGCUUGCUUGUAUUGAAUGCUUGCUUUCGCGUUUUAUCUAUUAAAUUAGAAUGAUGCUGAAAUACUAGCAUUAGUUACGCAGAUAUAACUAUUCAUGUUUGGGUAUUCCAUUGUAAGAUCCAAAUUAAAAUCAUGAUUUUCGGUCUCUUGUUAAACUUAUCCUUAGCUUCAAAUGACGAGUUUUAAUUGUUUUGUGUGUGCCUUUCAUAAAUCAUCCAUAAGGAUCACUACAAUUUGUCCUUUGAGGGGAUAACAUAAAACUUAAGUCUUUUAUCCAUUAAGGGGGAUUAAUGAUGGAUAGAAUUAUAUCACUUAUUAAUUUAAUUACAUCCAAGGUCUGUUUUGUUUUUUCUUGUAGUCUUUCAAAAUUAAAGAAUCCUAAUUGAAAAA